rnacentral:rRNA from 1 species
AUUGAACGCUGGCGGCAUGCCUAACACAUGCAAGUCGAACGCCCCGCAAGGGGAGUGGCGCACGGGUGAGUAACGCGUGGGAACCUGCCCCGGAGUGGGGGAUAACCCGGCGAAAGCCGGGCUAAUACCGCAUACGGCCUGAGGGCGAAAGAUUUAUCGCUCUGGGAGGGGCCCGCGUCCGAUUAGCUAGUUGGUGAGGUAACGGCUCACCAAGGCGACGAUCGGUAGCUGGUCUGAGAGGAUGAUCAGCCACACUGGGACUGAGACACGGCCCAGACUCCUACGGGAGGCAGCAGUGGGGAAUAUUGGACAAUGGGGGCAACCCUGAUCCAGCAAUGCCGCGUGAGUGAUGAAGGCCUUAGGGUUGUAAAGCUCUUUCGGCGGGGACGAUGAUGACGGUACCCGCAGAAGAAGCCCCGGCUAACUUCGUGCCAGCCGCCGCGGUAA